UACAGAGGUGGCGAGCGUUGUUCGGAAUUACUGGGCGUAAAGGGCGCGUAGGCGGUCCGAUAAGUCCUGUGUGAAAUCCCUCGGCUCAACUGAGGAACUGCACGGGAGACUGCCGGGCUUGAGUUCGGGAGAGGGAAGCGGAAUUCCGGGUGUAGCGGUGAAAUGCGUAGAUAUCCGGAGGAACACCGGUGGCGAAGGCGGCUUCCUGGACCGACACUGACGCUGAGGCGCGAAAGCUAGGGGAGCAAACGGG
rnacentral:rRNA from 1 species